rnacentral:rRNA from 1 species
AUGCUGGAGGUAUCAGAAGUGCGAAUGCUGACAUAAGUAACGAUAAAGCGGGUGAAAAGCCCGCUCGCCGGAAGACCAAGGGUUCCUGUCCAACGUUAAUCGGGGCAGGGUGAGUCGACCCCUAAGGCGAGGCCGAAAGGCGUAGUCGAUGGGAAACAGGUUAAUAUUCCUGUACUUGGUGUUACUGCGAAGGGGGGACGGAGAAGGCUAUGUUGGCCGGGCGACGGUUGUCCCGGUUUAAGCGUGUAGGCUGGUUUUCCAGGCAAAUCCGGAAAAUCAAGGCUGAGGCGUGAUGACGAGGCACUACGGUGCUGAAGCAACAAAUGCCCUGCUUCCAGGAAAAGCCUCUAAGCAUCAGGUAACAUCAAAUCGUACCCCAAACCGACACAGGUGGUCAGGUAGAGAAUACCAAGGCGCUUGAGAGAACUCGGGUGAAGGAACUAGGCAAAAUGGUGCCGUAACUUCGGGAGAAGGCACGCUGAUAUGUAGGUGAAGUCCCUUGCGGAUGGAGCUGAAAUCAGUCGAAGAUACCAGCUGGCUGCAACUGUUUAUUAAAAACACAGCACUGUGCAAACACGAAAGUGGACGUAUACGGUGUGACGCCUGCCCGGUGCCGGAAGGUUAAUUGAUGGGGUCAGCGCAAGCGAAGCUCUUGAUCGAAGCCCCGGUAAACGGCGGCCGUAACUAUAACGGUCCUAAGGUAGCGAAAUUCCUUGUCGGGUAAGUUCCGACCUGCACGAAUGGCGUAAUGAUGGCCAGGCUGUCUCCACCCGAGACUCAGUGAAAUUGAACUCGCUGUGAAGAUGCAGUGUACCCGCGGCAAGACGGAAAGACCCCGUGAACCUUUACUAUAGCUUGACACUGAACAUUGAGCCUUGAUGUGUAGGAUAGGUGGGAGGCUUGGAAGUGUGGACGCCAGUCUGCAUGGAGCCGACCUUGAAAUACCACCCUUUAAUGUUUGAUGUUCUAACGUUGACCCGUAAUCCGGGUUGCGGACAGUGUCUGGUGGGUAGUUUGACUGGGGCGGUCUCCUCCUAAAGAGUAACGGAGGAGCACGAAGGUUGGCUAAUCCUGGUCGGACAUCAGGAGGUUAGUGCAAUGGCAUAAGCCAGCUUGACUGCGAGCGUGACGGCGCGAGCAGGUGCGAAAGCAGGUCAUAGUGAUCCGGUGGUUCUGAAUGGAAGGGCCAUCGCUCAACGGAUAAAAGGUACUCCGGGGAUAACAGGCUGAUACCGCCCAAGAGUUCAUAUCGACGGCGGUGUUUGGCACCUCGAUGUCGGCUCAUCACAUCCUGGGGCUGAAGUAGGUCCCAAGGGUAUGGCUGUUCGCCAUUUAAAGUGGUACGCGAGCUGGGUUUAGAACGUCGUGAGACAGUUCGGUCCCUAUCUGCCGUGGGCGCUGGAGAACUGAGGGGGGCUGCUCCUAGUACGAGAGGACCGGAGUGGACGCAUCACUGGUGUUCGGGUUGUCAUGCCAAUGGCACUGCCCGGUAGCUAAAUGCGGAAGAGAUAAGUGCUGAAAGCAUCUAAGCACGAAACUUGCCCCGAGAUGAGUUCUCCCUGACUCCUUGAGAGUCCUGAAGGAACGUUGAAGACGACGACGUUGAUAGGCCGGGUGUGUAAGCGCAGCGAUGCGUUGAGCUAACCGGUACUAAUGAACCGUGAGGCUUAACCUUACAACGCCGAAG